rnacentral:rRNA from 1 species
AUUGAACGCUGGCGGCAUGCUUUACACAUGCAAGUCGAACGGCAGCGCGGGCUUCGGCCUGGCGGCGAGUGGCGAACGGGUGAGUAAUGCAUCGGAACGUGCCCAGUAGUGGGGGAUAGCCCGGCGAAAGCCGGAUUAAUACCGCAUACGACCUGAGGGUGAAAGCGGGGGACCGAAAGGCCUCGCGCUAUUGGAGCGGCCGAUGUCGGAUUAGCUAGUUGGUGGGGUAAAGGCUUACCAAGGCGACGAUCCGUAGCUGGUCUGAGAGGACGAUCAGUCAAAGUGGAGAUGAGAAGAGGUGCAGGGUCGUACGGGAGGCAGCAGUGGGGAAUAUUGGAGAAUGGGAGAAAGACUGAUACAGCCAUGCCGCGGGUGUGAAGAAGGUAUUCGGAUUGUAAAGGACUUUAAGUUGAGAGGAAGGGAAGUAAGUGAAUAAAUUGCGGAUUUGAGGUGAGCAACAGAAUAAGCACCGGAUAACUUGGUG